rnacentral:rRNA from 1 species
CAAUAGCGUAUAUUUAAGUUGUUGCAGUUAAAAAGCUCGUAGUUGGAUUUCGGAUGGGAUUUGCCGGUCCGUCGUUACGAUGUGCACUGGCCAGUCCUAUCUUGUUGUCGGGGACUAGCUCCUUGGAUUCACUUCCUGGGACUAGGAGCUGACGAGGUUACUUUGAGUAAAUUAGAGUGUUCAAAGCAAGCCUACGCUCUGAAUACAUUAGCAUGGAAUAACACGAUAGGACUCUGGCUUAUCUUGUUGGUCUGUGAGACCAGAGUAAUGAUUAAGAGGGACAGUCGGGGACAUUCGUAUUCCAUUGUCAGAGGUGAAAUUCUUGGAUUUAUGAAAGACGAACUUCUGCGAAAGCAUUUGUCAAGGAUGUUUUCAUUAA